rnacentral:rRNA from 1 species
CUUAGUGGCGGACGGGUGAGUAACGCGUGAGAAUCUGCCUUCAGGACGGAGACAACAGUUGGAAACGACUGCUAAGCCCCGAUGUACCGAAAGGGAAAAUAUUUAUAGCCUGAAGAUGAGCUCGCGUCCGAUUAGCUAGUUGGCGGAGUAAAAGCCCACCGAGGCGACGAUCGGUAGCUGGUCUGAGAGGACGAUCAGCCACACUGGGACUGAGACACGGCCCAG